GCCUGCGCGCGGCCUCUCCUCAGGCGCGGCCUGUGCUGAGGGCACUGCCGACAGCGUUGGGACUUCGACCUGGCUAAAUCUGUGAUUCUCCACCAGGGUGCCAGGACACCCAGGGGUGCUGCAACGUCCUGUGAAGAGUGCCGCACGGUGUGAGGAGAUGCACAGGCCGGUGCCCCACCCUCACUGCUAGGCCCCGCACUGUAAUAAUCAUCGCCAGGUCUUCAAACGGGGGCCGCGCCAUUCAGAGGAGUUGUGGAGGGGAGCCUCACAUCUAAAAAGCCUGAGACGGGCUGUACUAAAUGAUGAGCCUCGUACACCAGAAACCUCUCAGAUUGAUUUUAUUAUUCAGAAGAAUCUGGAUUUAUCUUGUGAAUCAUUUUUGCACGCCCAGAAGUAUGUGGCUCUCCAAAGCACCCUCGAAAGUAUCUCGAGGCACCCUGGGGUGCCAGAGCGCUGGGUUCAGAAUCGUUGCGACGGUGAAAACACCCAUGCCGAUGGCUAGGAGUUAGAAGUGCCAAGUCCCGCUUCUGUUUCUGUGACUCACUCUUCAACACUCUCAAAUAUCUUGGGUCUUAUGUUAGAUUGUGUGAACGUUCAUUUCUCAAAGUAAUUUACAGUUUCAGUUCAUGUGCAAUUACAGUGCGCUUCCCAUGCAGCGAUGCAUUUCACACUUUGUAAUGCAUUCAAGCAGAUUGAGGCUCUUUGUUUAAUAAUAAACAGCUUACAUUUCUUUUCCAGUGGCAGCUCUGAUUUGGAGAUCUUUAAUGGCUGUGGCAAGGCUCCAAAGCAUCACUCUUAUUUGGCUGUUUCAUUUUACAGUGAUUUUGAUAUAGCAGGCAGGUCUUCAAAAAUACCAGAUUUGACUGAGGUGCGCUGUAUUGUUCUACAGUCUUACUGAGCAUUUACAUUGUGGUGCCUAGAAGCCACCAGGUUGAGGUGCCAAAUGUCAUAUAAACAUACAGUAAAUGACAACCUCUGUCCCAGAGAGCUGACACUAUAGAAAGCAGCAAAACAAUUCACAAUUCUCCUUGGAUUUAGCAUUUCGUUUCUUGAGAUAGCAACAAAUCUACUUCUGUCUUACGAGUCUGUUAACUUCUGUACUAAUCCAUUUUCAUUUCUUCAGAUAGCAACAAGUCUACUUGUGUCUUAUGAGUCUGUUAACUUCUGUACUAAUCCAUUUUAAUUUCUUCAGAUAGCAACAAGUCUACUUGUGUUUUACGAGUCUGUUAACUUCUGUACUAAUCCAGAAAGCAUUGGAUUUUCAGAGUUCAGUGUGUAUAGUCAGUAGAUGCAUAUCUUUUCUGAUGAGAAGGAAUGGCUUGCAGACUGGAUCCGGUGCAAAACUGAAGGAAGUUUGAUAUUUGAUAUUUCAAAACAAUGCAGGUAGCGUACUUCUCUCUUGUUUUUACUGAUAUUCAAAGUAGUGUAUCAGACACACUGAAGUGGAUAAUAGCACUACUAAAGUCUAGAGCAUUUUGAACAUGAAGGCCCCCCCAUAUUUACCCUCUCUGGUAAAUCAUACUUAUUUUAGUUUUUCACAAAGGGAAAAAGUGAGAUGCAGAGAAGCAAACUGACGAGGCAGAGAACGAGGUUGCACAGCACUGCUCAAGCACAGCCAGGAAGAAGAUACAGGAAAGUUGGGGUCUAGUACAAAGCUAUGAAGAACCAUUUUUUUACAUUAUAUGGAAACAAUGGAAAGUGUUGCAUUCAAGACAAUACAGCAGGAGUGACAAAUUCAACAGGCAGGUGACAGAGGAUUGUCAGCAGUCUGAAGUCGUGAUAAACAUACGGUACAAUAGCACUCAAGAUGUGGGACCAAGCUUGCAGUUGUAAUAUUUGCACUUUCUACACAUAAAAGCUUUCAUCCGCUCUGCAAUUGCUCGUGUGCCUGUCUGGAGAGCUUGCUUGACUUGGGGGGCACAGCAAUCCAGCCACACACAGCAAGCAUGAAGGACAAAGAUCAAACUGUCCUCUUAGGGUGUGUAAUGGUGGAAUGAAUGGAAAUUAA